AUAGCGUAUAUUAAAGUUGUUGCAGUUAAAAAGCUCGUAGUUGAACUUCAGACCUGGCCGGGCGGUCCACCUUCACGGUGCGUACUGUCUGGCUGGGCCUUACCUCUUGGUGAGCCAGCAUGCCCUUUACUGGGUGUGUCGGGGAACCAGGACUUUUACCUUGAGAAAAUUAGAGUGUUCAAAGCAGGCCUAUGCCUGAAUACGUUAGCAUGGAAUAAUGAAAUAGGACGUGCGGUUCUAUUUUGUUGGUUUCUAGAGUCGCCGUAAUGAUUAAUAGGGAUAGUUGGGGGCAUUCGUAUUCCGUUGCUAGAGGUGAAAUUCUUGGAUUUACGGAAGACGAACUUCUG
rnacentral:rRNA from 1 species